AGUCAUAUGAAAUUAAAUUGUCAACAUUAGAACAUCAACAAGUAAGAUUUUCACGAAUGAACUGCAGGGUUUUGCCUAGGGGCCACCCAUCGUGUAACAUGCAUGGUAUAGCAUAGCAGUGUGAGUUGCCUGCAUACCAUGUGUCUCCUAAGAUAAUGAGAUGUGUAAGUUACAUGUACUUCAUGAGGCCCCGGCCCAAAGCUAGCGUGAGUUAAAUACAACUCACAUGGCAGUUAAAUGUGUUAAAAAACAAAGGGGCUUACAAACUGGCUAAAUAUCAUUUUUCUUUUCAAACUGGGUAUGGGAUGGAGAAAGAAGCUUGGCUGGCAGGUGGUCGUGUUAUGCAGAUAAAUUUCGCCAUAACAACUCUCAGGGAAAUGCUUUUAUUCAGACAUUUCUGGGUGUCAGACUCUCAGCAAACCUGUCCCAGAUCAAACAGGCAGGGCCUGGCUGCAUUUAACGGAGGUUCAAGAUGCAAAUCUCUCCCUGAGUCUUCCCACCUGGACAGUCUUAGGGCAUUUUUCCUGUUUACCUGAAGCCAUCUCAAAAUAUGGCAAAGAAAUGUAUUUUGGGUUAAAAUAUUUAUUUUCUUCAACCAUAAAAAAAAAUCCCUUCAAGAUAUACAGCCCCUAUAAAAUGAGCGCAUGUCAAUUACAACCUUAGGACUGUAGCCUUAAUAAAUUCUUAAAUGUCAAUUACAAGUUUAUCUCCACAGAUGCAAAUCAGGGCAGAGAUAAGAUCAUUCUUCUACCCUCUGAGAAAAUAUUCACAUUGACGAUUUCCUUUACCCCCAUCAUCUUGAUGUACAGCUUAUGUAGAUUUACUGAGCACCAAAUAGAGCUUCACAAGAAUACCAUCAAUUGCCUCUCUCACCCCUCCUCUUUUGCCCUUAGAUGGAAGUUCUCAACUUGUCCUGAGAGCCAACGGCAGAUACUGUGUGGGCUCUGCUUUUCCCAGGCACGUUCUUAAAAUCUCGGCUUAAUAAACCUCGACUGACUGUGACUCUCUUGCUUUCAGUCACUUACUAUUGAAGCGAGCAGCAUGAAGAGAUGUUUCUCGUUAUGAAUGGAUACAACGGCAUGGGUCUUAAUUAUCUGUCUCUCGUGAACCUUAUUAGCAAAGAUUAGUGUCACUGAGGCCCAUCAACUCUUGGACACUGAAAAGUUAAACAUUUUACCUUUAAAGGCACUAGAAAGGCUACUUUGGUUUUUAAAAAUCAGCAUUUUAGGGCACACUUAAAACCAUGACUCAAAUAUUAUAAAAGUGAUUCAUGUAACCCAAAAUAUUAACAUUUGUACUCCCAUAAUACUUUGAAAUUGAAAAAUGUAAAAAAAAAUUAGCAUUAUGAACUAAAAUAAAAUCUUAAGGCUCCAGCUCAGUCAUUUCCUCUCCCACGCCCUUAGUUUUCCAUUUCCUUAGUUCUCAUUCCUGUGCACGGUACAGGCCACACGUGAAGCCGGUUCAGAGAGGCCGCCGCAGGCCGGGGUCCACGCCGCCGGCAGAACUGUCGACCUGGUUCGACAGCCUAACGGCGCGGCUUGAACCUUGCGGCAGCCCGUAGACCCCAUACUUUCUCUUCCGGAGCUCAGCUGGAUGGAUCUCUUUAUUUUAACCAGGGAGGCUUGUGACUGAGAGCUGCCUUUUCGCAAAGAACUAUCAGUCAGUAAAAGCCUCCGUCCAGAGAAAUUCUGGCCUCCGCGUCCCCUCAAACUGCCUCAAGCGGCGCGGCCGGAACUGCGCAGGCGCGGCUCCGCUGACCUCGCCGGGUUCACUUCCGGGGUUCGCACGCGCCGCUCUCUUGCUUGGGCUCUAGGCUCUGGUGUCAUCUCCGAGGUCUCCUACCGCGUACCGGCUCGGGCGGGACUGAGGGGACCAAGCCAAACCGUAGGGCCCGCUCUGGCGUGGCCGCAUGAUGCUUCCCUGCCUUGGCUGCUGCCGCUGCCGCCGCCGCUGCUGCGGUCGCCCGAGUGGUGCCGCAGUGGCGGGCGACAUCGCUCGGGCCGCAGAUCCAUACACAGAUAAAGGAUGAGCUUGAUCCAGACGACAUUUAUGAAGUUCUCUAUUGAAAUGUUUUGAUUUUCCAUACACGCUUCUCUUAGUUUUAUAUGAAAUUGCUUUUACAAAAGGAACUUAAGAUAUUUUUGAAGAAAGUGAUUAGUAAAUCUUCGUGGAAUGUAUUUCUUUUUAAAUGAAACUCAUUUAUAAUAUAAAAUUAUCAAUAAUUAUGAAUAAGUGUAUCUCAGAGGAUCUUUCAGAGAAAGAUCUUAGACAUUCAUCUGGGGCUGCCGAUCAAAAAGAAAAAACACAGUAAAUGCACAAGUAGAAGAUAUGGGCAUCAUCUCAGAUAGGAACUCAGAUGGAACUCAGCAUUACAUAUCGGAAUUGAAAUCUCCACAACAGAAACUUCUGAAGAAGAUUUUGAUGAAACCACAUUUAGAAGAUAUAAGCAACUCUAUCUGAAAGAAUUGAAACAUAGAAAAUCUUCAUCCAGUAAACUAAGCGAAUGUGUUUGACAAGAAACAGAACACACUGCUUCAGUUCACAGUUAACCAAACAUAAACAACCGAAUAUCUACCUGCUUUCUCUAAGUGAAUACCAGUGGUUUUCAGAUGGUUCAGACCCGUGACUAUGAAGCCCUCUGGUAAUGUUUCCCUUCUGAUGGUCA